AUUGAACGCUGGCGGCAGGCCUAACACAUGCAAGUCGAACGGUAACAGGAAACAGCUUGCUGUUUCGCUGACGAGUGGCGGACGGGUGAGUAAUGUCUGGGAAACUGCCUGAUGGAGGGGGAUAACUACUGGAAACGGUAGCUAAUACCGCAUAACGUCGCAAGACCAAAGAGGGGGACCUUCGGGCCUCUUGCCAUCGGAUGUGCCCAGAUGGGAUUAGCUAGUAGGUGGGGUAACGGCUCACCUAGGCGACGAUCCCUAGCUGGUCUGAGAGGAUGACCAGCCACACUGGAACUGAGACACGGUCCAGACUCCUACGGGAGGCAGCAGUGGGGAAUAUUGCACAAUGGGGGCAAGCCUGAUGCAGCCAUGCCGCGUGUAUGAAGAAGGCCUUCGGGUUGUAAAGUACUUUCAGCGGGGAGGAAGGGAGUAAAGUUAAUACCUUUGCUCAUUGACGUUACCCGCAGAAGAAGCACCGGCUAACUCCGUG
rnacentral:rRNA from 1 species